rnacentral:misc_RNA from 1 species
GAAAUGCGAUAAGUAAUGUGAAUUGCAGAAUUCAGUGAAUCAUCGAAUCUUUGAACGCACAUUGCGCCCGCCAGUAUUCUGGCGGGCAUGCCUGUUCGAGCGUCAUUUCAACCAUCAAGCCCCCGGCUUGUGUUGGGGACCUGCGGCUGCCCGCAGGCCCUGAAAAACAGUGGCGGGCUCGCUGUCACUCCGAGCGUAGUAGCAUACAUUCUCGCUCAGGGCGUGCUGCGGGUUCCGGCCGUUAAACGACCUUCAUAACCCAAGGUUGACCUCGGAUCAGGUAGGAAGACCCGCUGAACUUAAGC